rnacentral:tRNA from 1 species
UGAAAAUUAGUAUAAAAAUUACGUUUUAUUUACAAUAAAAAGAUAUUAAUUUAAAUAUUUUCAU